rnacentral:rRNA from 1 species
UACGUAGGGGGCAAGCGUUGUCCGGAAUUAUUGGGCGUAAAGAGCUCGUAGGCGGUCUGUCGCGUCAGAUGUGAAAAUCCAGGGCUCAACCCUGGACCUGCAUUCGAUACGGGCAGACUAGAGUUCGGUAGGGGAGACUGGAAUUCCUGGUGUAGCGGUGAAAUGCGCAGAUAUCAGGAGGAACACCGGUGGCGAAGGCGGGUCUCUGGGCCGAAACUGACGCUGAGGAGCGAAAGCGUGGGGAGCAAACAGG